rnacentral:rRNA from 1 species
AACAAACGCUGGCGGCGUGCCUAAUACAUGCAAGUCGAGCGAGGAAUUGCCUUCGGGUAGUUUCGAGCGGCGCACGGGUGAGUAACACGUGGACAAUCUUCCUCUAGGUGGGGAAUAACCAGUCGAAAGACUGGCUAAUACCGCAUAAGACCACACGGGCUUCGGUCCGAGAGGUUAAAGGCGCAAGUCGCCUGGAGAUGAGUUUGCGUCCGAUUAGCUAGUUGGUGAGGUAAUGGCUCACCAAGGCGACGAUCGGUAGCUGGUCUGAGAGGACGGCCAGCCACACUGGGACUGAGACACGGCCCAGACUCCUACGGGAGGCAGCAGUAGGGAAUAUUGCACAAUGGAGGAAACUCUGAUGCAGCGACGCCGCGUGAGUGACGAAGGCCUUCGGGUUGUAAAGCUCUGUUCUCAGGGAAAAAGAAAGUGA